CUGUCCCAACAUUGCCUUUGUCUGGCGGGAAGCUGAAAACAGUGAUUGCCAGUUUCUUCUCCACCUGUAGCAGACAAACAAAGAAGACCGCUUGGAACCCCAUCUUGGGAACGAGCCCAUUGUUCCAUUUGAAGGAUAAGUUUCAAUUGGGAGCUAAUGCUUGCAUGGCAGAUCACUUCUCAAUGAACUUCAUAGUAACCAUGCAUUACUGGAUACUACUUAAUAGCAGGAUUGUGGCAUUGAAUGUACAAGAAUAGAAGCAAGCACCAGUUUUCGAAAUGACAGUGAAGAAAUUAAGCUAAUAUGUUUAUUCAGCAUGCUAUCUUAAAUCCCCAGAGAUGAACGAAGUGAAGUCAGAACUAUUCAGAUGUGACAUUUGGUUGCCUUUGCUAGCAGAAACAAUGCAAUUGUCCAGAUACAUAAAGUAUAUACAAAUGUACAGGAACUGCGUGGAA